GUUUAUGUGCCCACCUGCACUGGCAACCAGUGUGGCUUGUGUGACUGCAAGGGUGGUCACAUGGGACAGGUCACAUGACUAACUAGGAAGUUAUAAAGUUUGGUUUGUUGAGCGCUCACAUUCUCUUGCUGCUGCCACCAAUUGCUCUUUGUGACUGUUAAGGUCCCCUGUCAUGCAGGGUGAAUGCUAGAACCAUGUGUUUCACUCUUCAUGGAGGACACUGAGGUGACUGCCUAAUUUUAAGAUUUAUGAGUGCUGGGCUACAGACACUGAUGCUCUGCACUGGAAUGUUCCUUUCUUCCUGUGUCACUGUGCUGUGGGGAGUAGUGAACGCUCUUGCAAAGUAGGCUUAUAUUUACUACAUAUGUCCAUUGUGUAAUUGUGCUGUGGAAUGUACAUGGUAACUAAUAUGUGCCAUUUCUUU